GUACACACGGAUAACAUACCGAAAGGUAUGCUAAUACGGGAUAACAUAUUUGAGAGGCAUCUCUUAAAUAUCAAAGGUGAGCCAGUACAGGAUGGACCCGCGUCUGAUUAGCUAGUUGGUAAGGUAACGGCUUACCAAGGCGACGAUCAGUAGCCGACCUGAGAGGGGGAUCGGCCACAUUGGAACUGAGACACGGUCCAAACUCCUACGGGAGGCAGCAGUGGGGAAUAUUGCACAAUGGGCGAAAGCCUGAUGCAGCAACGCCGCGUGAGUGAUGAAGGCCUUCGGGUCGUAAAACUCUGUCCUCAAGGAAGAUAAUGACGGUACUU
rnacentral:rRNA from 1 species